rnacentral:misc_RNA from 1 species
AUCAACCAGGAGCAGCACAAGCUCUCCGCCUCAGCCUGGAGUGCCACUUACCUUGUGUAGCCCAGGUGAUGAUCAACCAAAGUUUGCCAGUUUUUCUGUUGAUCUUAAUGAAGGUAGGCUGCAUAAUUCUUUUCCAUGGCAUGUUUUAUGACUUGAAAUGUGCAUGGUGCUUAUGUUAAUCACAGCUUUAAUGCUCAUUAUCGAACUGAUAUUAAACAUUUGACGCAUGGGCUGUCCAAUCUCAUUUGUUUGCUGGGAAUCUGAAGAAUGCCAGUAAAAGAUAGAUUUCCAUAAAGACCAAUGGACAUUUUAUUUUUGACAAUGUACUUGUGUGCCACUCAAACCAUGACUUUUGGUUAUACCCAUACCGUGUUUUGUUAGAAUUUCUUGUGUGCUGCCAAGCAUUAUUUUGUCAACCUUAUGAAAAUAGUUAAUUGUAAUAUUCUAAUUUAUGAUGCAAGUGAUUAUAGUUGUGAAGUAAUUCUUGUGCAGCUUCUAGGGAACUUUUUGAUUCUUCAUAUACAGGUUAAUAUAUAUUGGGAUUUAUUAUAAAUAUAUGUGAAGGUCUUUGUAUUAUUUGUGUGCUCUGCAGAUGUCCAAGAAGGUUGACAUGCUGUUUGUGUGAUUUAUGAUGCUUGGAACUGUGUAGGGUGCCCUCUACAGACAAUCACCAUUGUCAAAAGAGGAAGGCAACCUAACAAUCUUCAGGAUGUCUGUUACAUGAUCUGCUCUUUCUUGAUAAGGAAAGCAGUUUUUUUUUUAUUUUUUCUAGUUCCCUCCCAUUUAUAGAGAUUCUUAUGAGAGAAUUACUUGUUGGCAAGGGAUAGGGAUUUCACUGUCAGCAGAUCAAUUUUGUACUAGAAUCAUGGUCGUGGGAAAUUCUUUUUUUCUGAUUUGUAAUAUAGCCCAAGUUAAAAUAUGCGGUCAUGAGCAUCUAUGCUCUUUGUAUGAUGUAAAUUUGAACGUAUGCUACCAUUUGACGUGCUUGUAUCUCAUUGCCCUAGUUGUUACUGAUUUUUAGCCCCUAUGAAUGAUUGCUACACUUCUCGCAACUGUUCUGUACCUGAAACCUUAAAGUGAU